GGGCAGGUGUGGCCUCAGUGGUAGAACAUCUGUUUGGCAUUCAGGAGGUACCCAGGUUCAAUCCCCUGACUCACUCC
rnacentral:tRNA from 1 species